AACAUCGCGCACCUGCGGGAACCUGCGGAGGGAUCACUAUCGAGUUCUGACCGAAAGGUCGACUCCCAACCCUUGCGUACUCUGACUUGUUGCUUUGGCGGGCCGAUCACUAGCGACCAUCGGCUUUUAGCGGGUGUGUGCCCGCCGAAGAACCUUUUAGAAAACUCCGUUUUGCGGUUGUCUGAGACUAUGAAAAAGUAAAACUUUUAGCAACGGAUCU
rnacentral:misc_RNA from 1 species